CUUUUAUUCUUCUUUUUUCAAAUGACCCAAAAGAUAGUCAAAUGCAUGAUGUCAAGAAUGGUAGCUGCACCAAAAAAAAAGAAUCAUGUCAAGAAUGAUUCUUUGAUUGAUAUAUAUUUUAUUGAGUAUUAUACUUCUAUAUAUACAUGUUUUCGAUGACAGAAAAAGAAAUAGACAAUUAAUUACAAUUAAGUACAAAAAGUAUAAUUUUACCCUUUAUCUUUUAGCCUCAUUUGCUUCCUCUCUAAUAUCUUGUUUUACUUCUUUAACAAUUAUAUUUUUUAACUUGAUUUACUUCUUUUUUACUUUAACAUUCUGAUUUAUUUCAUUUUUAAUAGAUAAUAUCAACUUAAACAUGCUACUGCGGGGGUUUCCCAUUUUACACAUAGCAAAUCACAGAACUAAGAGCUCUGAGGCCAGUAAUUGGGGCUUGGGAGAGAGUUUGUCUUCCUCUAACAUAUUAUUCCAUAAAACAGACUAGGACAACAGUACCACAUUGGGUAUUUCCUUUCCCUACCUAUGUUAUAAAUAGGCAGUCAACCAAGCAGAUAAAUAAUCAAAACUGCAAAAAAGGGAAAAGCCACAGAACUGUUUUUAAGAAAUAUUGCGUUAAUAAGAUUAAUUGGUUUGCAAAUGGUUCUCUCUGGCAAAUGCCAGAAGAUAUACUUCACCCUUGUUGACUCACAAUCUACUCAAAUGUGAAAUCAGAGCUGGUAGGAUUGUAGAGUACUUCAAGGACUGCCAUGCCUGAAAUUUGAGGCUUUUAGUCCAUGCCCAAGCUUACACUUCAUGUACUUUCUAUUGAUAUAUCCCUUGAUUGUUAUUUGCAGAUUGAUGUACUUGAAGUUGAUGGCGCCUACUACGGUUUCUCUGGUUGUCAUCGGUACGAGGCUCAUCAACGACUCGGGCUCCCAACAAUUCGGUGCAAAGUACGACGAGGAACGAAAGAAACUCUGAGUUAUGUUUGAUCAUCCUGCUAAUAUUUUAUUAAAGUCACCUGCAACCAUUUUGAUGAUUCUUUCGUAUCCUAUUUGUCUUCAUUUUGCAGACAUCAUCUCCGCUGAGCAUCACCUCCACAAAGUUUAUACAGUGUUGCAGGAAGUAGGCAGUAUUUUGCAAUCCUGUAUGUGCUUUCCUGGAGUUUGUACACAUGAUGUUCCAGAAAAUGGUAGUAAAUGGUUCCUGGUACUAAAUUUAGAUGGGGAACCGCACUAGAAGAUGUACUCUCUUUCCCAACAGAAUAAUGUAUUAACUCUUUAAUGUAAUUAUAUUUUUAAUUUGUAUAUAAAUUUGUGGAUAUUUUUCUUCAUA